CCUACGGGGGGCAGCAGUGGGGAAUAUUGGACAAUGGGGGGAACCCUGAUCCAGCCAUGCCGCGUGUGUGAAGAAGGCCCUCGGGUUGUAAAGCACUUUCAGUGAGGAAGAACGCCUGGUGGUUAAUACCCAUCAGGAAAGACAUCACUCACAGAAGAAGCACCGGCUAACUCCGUGCCAGCAGCCGCGGUAAUACGGAGGGUGCGAGCGGUAAUCGGAAUUACUGGGCGUAAAGCGCGCGUAGGUGGCUUGAUAAGCCGGUUGUGAAAGCCCCGGGCUCAACCUGGGAACGGCAUCCGGAACUGUCAAGCUAGAGUGCAGGAGAGGAAGGUAGAAUUCCCGGUGUAGCGGUGAAAUGCGUAGAGAUCGGGAGGAAUACCAGUGGCGAAGGCGGCCUUCUGGACUGACACUGACACUGAGGUGCGAAAGCGUGGGUAGCAAACAGGAUUAGAUACCCUUGUAGUC
rnacentral:rRNA from 1 species